rnacentral:rRNA from 1 species
GUGGAAGCGCCGUCGCUCAACGGAUAAAAGGUACCCCGGGGAUAACAGGCUGAUCUUCCCCAAGAGUCCAUAUCGACGGGAUGGUUUGGCACCUCGAUGUCGGCUCGUCGCAUCCUGGGGCUGGAGUCGGUCCCAAGGGUUGGGCUGUUCGCCCAUUAAAGCGGUACGCGAGCUGGGUUUAGAACGUCGUGAGACAGUUCGGUCCCUAUCCGCUGUGCGCGUAGGAAUAUUGAGAAGGGCUGUCCCUAGUACGAGAGGACCGGGACGGACGAACCUCUGGUGUGCCAGUUGUUCUGCCAAGGGCAUGGCUGGUUGGCUACGUUCGGGAGGGAUAACCGCUGAAAGCAUCUAAGCGGGAAGCCUGCUUCGAGAUGAGUAUUCCCACCUCCUUGAGAGGGUAAGGCUCCCAGUAGACGACUGGGUUGAUAGGCCGGAUAUGGAAGCCCUGUAAGGGGUGGAGUUGACCGGUACUAAUAGGCCGAGGGCUUGUCCUCAGUUG